GACGAACGCUGGCGGCGUGCCUAAUACAUGCAAGUUGAGCGCUGAAGGUUGGUACUUGUACCAACUGGAUGAGCAGCGAACGGGUGAGUAACGCGUGGGGAAUCUGCCUUUGAGCGGGGGACAACAUUUGGAAACGAAUGCUAAUACCGCAUAAAAACUUUAAACACAAGUUUUAAGUUUGAAAGAUGCAAUUGCAUCACUCAAAGAUGAUCCCGCGUUGUAUUAGCUAGUUGGUGAGGUAAAGGCUCACCAAGGCGAUGAUACAUAGCCGACCUGAGAGGGUGAUCGGCCACAUUGGGACUGAGACACGGCCCAAACGCCUACGGGAGGCAGCAGUAGGGAAUCUUCGGCAAUGGACGAAAGUCUGAACGAGCAACGCCGCGUGAGUGAAGAAGGGUUUCGGAUCGUAAAACUCUGUUGGUAGAGAAGAACGUUGGUGAGAGUGGAAAGCGCAUCAAGUGACGGUAACUACCCAGAAAGGGACGGCUAACUACGUG
rnacentral:rRNA from 1 species